rnacentral:rRNA from 1 species
UACGAAGGGGGCUAGCGUUACUCGGAUUGACUGGGCGUAAAGGGCGCGUAGGCGGUUCGUACAGUCAGACGUGAAAUUCCUGGGCUCAACCUGGGGGCUGCGUUUGAUACGUGCGGGCUUGAGUUCGGAAGAGGGUCGUGGAAUUCCCAGUGUAGAGGUGAAAUUCGUAGAUAUUAGGAAGAACACCGGUGGCGAAGGCGGCCCACUGGAUCGGUACUGACGCUGAGGUGCGAAAGCGUGGGGAGCAAACAGG